rnacentral:rRNA from 1 species
CGGCGUGCCUAACGCAUGCAAGUCGAACGGGGAUUUGUUUCGGCAGAAUCCUAGUGGCGAACGGGUGAGUAACGCGUAGGCAACCUGCCCUCCGGCCGGGGGACAACACUCCGAAAGGGGUGCUAAUACCGGAUACGAAGUCUGUGCCGCAUGGUACGGAUUUGAAAGAUGGCCUCUAUUUAUAAGCUAUCGCCGGGGGAUGGGCCUGCGUCCGAUUAGCUGGUUGGUGGGGUAACGGCCUACCAAGGCGACGAUCGGUAGCCGGUCUGAGAGGAUGAACGGCCACAUUGGGACUGAGACACGGCCCAGACUCCUACGGGAGGCAGCAGUGGGGAAUCUUCCGCAAUGGGCGCAAGCCUGACGGAGCAACGCCGCGUGAGUGAGGAAGUUCUUCGGAACGUAAAGCUCUGUUGUUCCUGACGAACCUCCCCUUGAUCAACAACGGAGGGGACUGACGGUAGGGAACGAGGAAGCCACGGCUAACUACGUGCCAGCCGCAGC